rnacentral:rRNA from 1 species
UACGGAGGGGGCUAGCGUUGUUCGGAAUUACUGGGCGUAAAGCGUACGUAGGCGGCUUUGUAAGUUAGAGGUGAAAGCCCGGGGCUCAACUCCGGAAUUGCCUUUAAGACUGCAUCGCUUGAAUCAUGGAGAGGUGAGUGGAAUUCCGAGUGUAGAGGUGAAAUUCGUAGAUAUUCGGAAGAACACCAGUGGCGAAGGCGACUCACUGGACAUGUAUUGACGCUGAGGUACGAAAGCGUGGGGAGCAAACGGG